rnacentral:lncRNA from 1 species
UGCCAUGGAUGGUUUUUCACUGGACUAAUGCUGUUUUAAAAACAAUAACAAAAUAAUAAAAUAAGUUAAUUAAUUAAUAAAUGAAAUGACUGUACGUGAUAGAAAGUGGAAUUAUCAUGUAAGACAUUUUCCAAACGAAACUUCCUUCUACUGCUUUCGAAUAGUUUUGCUCAUCUUCAUUUUUUUUCGGAGAAUGGUAUCGUUUGUGUUUGCUUGGAACUCUAAUUCGCGAAGAGGUUUACAAUUGGUGUUUUUAUCCUCUUCUUGUGUGAUAUGCCAUGUGUAAAAACAUAAAGGUCUGCACCAAACUUCUGGCUGUGUGACAUGUAGAUAUCAGAGGUGACAGCUCAGCAUCACAUGUGGCAACUCAUUUGUAUCCCACAUAGUUGCUUUUGCAGUGCAAAUAGCAAUUGAAGAGGAGGAGUGCCUCACCUCCAAGUACUGUGAGUCUUUCUUUCUUUCUUUAUUUCUUCAAAGGUUGUAAUCUCGUUUUCAAAUUUUUGUUACAAACAAGCUAUUCAACUUUUGGAAUAAAGUAAUGAUACACAAAUGUUCUUGUAUAAGAAGAAGAAGCAAUAUAUAUCUAUAUAUAUAUAUAUAUAUGUUACCCAAAUUUUAUGUGUUAGCAAGGAAAUGGUGAAUCUGUAUUGGCUACAUAAGAGGACGAUAAUAGAUUUGAAAAAGCAGAAGAUGUUUAGAGAGUGUUACAAACAAGGUUAACAUAACAUGUAGAAAAAGAAAAAAAAUAGAUGUAGAGUACAACUUUCUUCCAGGAGAAGAAAAACAAAUAACACAUGCAAAUUAUUUUAAACUGUUUUUUUUAAGGUUUUCUUUUGAAGAAAAAAAAGAAAAAAAGGGAAAAAAGGGGGAAAAAUAACAAACAAACAAACAGUUGUUAGAGUUACAAAGUGGCCCCAUUUGAAUCAUGAAUUUCAGGAAAAUAUGAAGUAUAAAGUGUCAAUGUAUAUCAAUUUAUUGGAAGAGGAUUGGAUCACAUGUGUUCUUCA